UACGUAGGGUGCGAGCGUUAAUCGGAAUUACUGGGCGUAAAGCGUGCGCAGGCGGUUUUGUAAGCCAGAUGUGAAAUCCCCGGGCUUAACCUGGGAACUGCAUUUGGGACUGCAAGGCUUGAGUACGGCAGAGGGGGGUAGAAUUCCUGGUGUAGCAGUGAAAUGCGUAGAUAUCAGGAGGAAUACCGAUGGCGAAGGCAGCCCCCUGGGCUAACACUGACGCUCAGGCACGAAAGCGUGGGGAGCAAACAGG
rnacentral:rRNA from 1 species